rnacentral:miRNA from 3 species
GCGUGCGAGGAGCCAAGCAUG